UGGGGAAUAUUGGACAAUGGGCGAAAGCCUGAUCCAGCAAUGCCGCGUGUGUGAAGAAGGCCUGCGGGUUGUAAAGCACUUUCAGUAGAGAAGAAAAGCCUCGGGUUAAUACCCCGGAGUCUUGACGUAACCUACAGAAGAAGCACCGGCUAACUCCGUGCCAGCAGCCGCGGUAAUACGGAGGGUGCAAGCGUUAAUCGGAAUUACUGGGCGUAAAGCGUGCGCAGGCGGUUCGUUAAGUUCGAUGUGAAAGCCCCGGGCUCAACCUGGGAAUGGCAUUGAAAACUGGCGGGCUUGAGUCUGGCAGAGGGGGGUGGAAUUCCGCGUGUAGCAGUGAAAUGCGUAGAGAUGCGGAGGAACACCGAUGGCGAAGGCAGCCCCCUGGGCCAAGACUGACGCUCAGGCACGAAAGCGUGGGGAGCAA
rnacentral:rRNA from 1 species